rnacentral:rRNA from 1 species
CCUACGGGUGGCAGCAGUGAGGAAUAUUUGUCAAUGGGCGCUAGCCUGAACCAGCCAAGUAGCGUGAAGGGUGACUGCCCUACGGGUUGUAAACUUCUUUUAUAUGGGAAUAAAUUGCAGUGUGUAUACUUCUUUGCAUGUACCUUAUGAAUAAGGAUCGGCUAACUCCGUGCCAGCAGCCGCGGUAAUACGGAGGCGCCGAGCGUUGUCCGGAUUUAUUGGGUUUAAAGGGAGCGUAGGCGGGUUGUUAAGUCAGUUGUGAAAGUUUGCGGCUCAACCGUAAAAUUGCAGUUGAUACUGGCAGCCUGGAGUACAGUAGAGGUAGGCGGAAUUCGUGGUGUAGCAGUGAAAUGCUUAGAUAUCACGAAGAACUCCGAUUGCGAAGGCAGCCUGCUGGACUGUAACUGACACUGAUGCUCGAAAGUGUGGGUAUCAAACAGGAUUAGAUACCCGAGUAGUC